rnacentral:rRNA from 1 species
UACGAAGGGGGCUAGCGUUGCUCGGAAUCACUGGGCGUAAAGGGUGCGUAGGCGGGUCUUUAAGUCAGAGGUGAAAUCCUGGAGCUCAACUCCAGAACUGCCUUUGAUACUGGGAAGCUUGAGUCCGGAAGAGGUGAGUGGAACUCCGAGUGUAGAGGUGAAAUUCGUAGAUAUUGGGAAGAACACCAGUGGCGAAGGCGGCUAACUGGUCCAGAUCUGACGCUGAGGUGCGAAAGCGUGGGGAGCAAACAGG